rnacentral:rRNA from 1 species
CGAGCACGCGCGUGUGGCAUAUCAAUAAGCGGAGGAAAAGAAACUAACAAGGAUUCCCUUAGUAACGGCGAGUGAAGCGGGAAGAGCUCAAAUUUGAAAUCUUCAAGGUUCUACCUUGACGAAUUGUAGUUUAUAGAAGUGUUUUCUGUUAGUGGAGUGGCAAAAGUUCUUUGGAAUAGGACAUCAUAGAGGGUGAGAAUCCCGUAUUUGGUCAUUCAUUCUAGCGUUGUGAUACACUUUCAAAGAGUCGGAUUGUUUGGGAAUGCAGUCCAAAAUGGGUGGUAAAUUUCAUCUAAAGCUAAAUAUUGGCGAGAGGACCGAUAGCGAACAAGUACCGUGAGGGAAAGAUGAAAAGAACUUUGAAAAGAGAGUUAAACAGUACGUGAAAUUGUCAAAAGGGAAGCGUUUGACACCAGUGUUGUUUUUCCGAAAAUCAAUUACGAAUGUUUUGUUUUUAAGAAGUUAUGACUUCAUCGGCUUGCUUCUUUCUUUAUGAAACUUUCUUAAUGCACUUUUCGGUUAACAAGUCAACAUCAAUUUCUUUUGUUGUAAAAGGGUAUGAGGAAGGUGGCUUUCUUUUCGGAGAAAGUGUUUAUAGCCUUGUGCCUCUACAAUCGGAGAGAUUGAGGUCUGCAGCGUAGAUCCUUCGGGGUUAGAUACGUUUGUGCUAAGUUAUAGCUUUUCAUAGACAACUUGUUGACUAUGUUUAGUCUUGUAGCUUACUCGCUUACGCUAUUUUACCUACGCUUAGGAUGUUGAGUAGCGACAUACGCAC